UACGUAGGGUGCAAGCGUUGUCCGGAAUCACUGGGCGUAAAGAGCUCGUAGGCGGUUUGUCGCGUCUGCCGUGAAAGUCCGGGCUCAACUCCGGAUCUGCGGUGGGUACGGGCAGACUAGAGUGAUGUAGGGGAGACUGGAAUUCCUGGUGUAGCGGUGAAAUGCGCAGAUAUCAGGAGGAACACCGAUGGCGAAGGCAGGUCUCUGGGCAAUUAACUGACGCUGAGGAGCGAAAGCAUGGGGAGCGAACAGG
rnacentral:rRNA from 1 species